AUUGAACGCUGGCGGCAGGCCUAACACAUGCAAGUCGAACGGUAACAGGAAGAAGCUUGCUUCUUUGCUGACGAGUGGCGGACGGGUGAGUAAUGUCUGGGAAACUGCCUGAUGGAGGGGGAUAACUACUGGAAACGGUAGCUAAUACCGCAUAACGUCGCAAGACCAAAGAGGGGGACCUUCGGGCCUCUUGCCAUCGUGUGUGCCCAGAUGGAAUUAGCUGGUAGGUGGUGUAACGGCUCACCUCGGCGACGAUCCCUAGCUGGUCAGCGGGGAUGACCUGCCACUCUGAGCUGAUACACGGUCCCGACUACUACGGGAGGCAGCAGAGGGGAAUAUUGCACAAUGGGCGCAAGCCUGAUGCAGCCAUGCCGCGUGUAUGAAGAAGACCUUCGGGUUGUAAAGUACUUUCAGCGGGGAGGAAGGGAGUAAAGUUGAUACCUUGGCUCAUUGACGUUACCCGCAGAAGAAGCACCGGCUAACUCCGUG
rnacentral:rRNA from 1 species